rnacentral:lncRNA from 1 species
CACAACCCUUGCAAAGGGAGAAGCAAACCAACACUAUGCACAGAAGCAACAGAAACGGAGGCAUCUGUCCUGAGGUCGCAACUUCUCUCUAUCUAAACACACGGGAAAUUCUCCUUGCCAGUGUCUGCUUCCCAUGUCUCUGUCUCCAGCUGAAAACCAGUUCCUGUGGAGACUGCUGGGACAGCAACUGCCAGUCAGCACUAUCAAGUGUCCUGCCUGCCAGGCUCCUGCUGUGUCUGCGUGGAGUCCAGCCAGAGUUCUCAGUCUCUACUGUGCAGUCUCUACCAGCAGGUCAAUGCAAUCAAACUGGGUCUGCAUGUAUGAUGACGCAGGCCUUAAUGCCCGAGCUAUGUGGCCACGUGUGCUUUGGCACUGCGGAAGGCUGGUUUUCACCAAUCGGCACAGAAUUUCCACUCUGGCUGUAUCAGGACAGGAACUGA